GGGGCAAAGGCUGCAUGUGGAGUGAAUCGUAGGUGUCCUUGGUUGCAGCACUCAGGCCCUGAGAUGAAGAAGAUUAACACACAGAUAAAGAAAUGAUGGCGCUGUACAGGAAAACAGAUCAUUACUACACUGCUUAUGUUCUCACAGGGGAGUGAAGACUAGCACAUGCCUCCUCCGACACUGUCUCAGAAAUCAGCCACCGCCUCUUUUUGAACUGCUGCUUUUUGAACGGUUCCGAUAGAUCAGCUCACAGAAAUUUGUAAAAAUGAGCCCUUACUUUGCCUCAUUGGCUCUAGUGCUGCCAUGCCCUAAUAUCAAAUUGAAUGUUGUUUUCUUUAGUGUAGUGGGUGGGGCUUAGCUACUAGUUAAUUGUCAUAUAAACCUAUUUUUAUUGGCUGGUUCAUGGUCUAUUCAGAUUAGCUAUGUGUUUUAAUUAGUGUUAUGUGCAAUAUAUAUAUUU